rnacentral:lncRNA from 1 species
GACGAUGAAUUAGAAGAAUACUAGCUAGCUUCUUAGUAUUAAUUAUAAUGACAAGCUUUGGAAACACACCCCUGUCCGUAAAAUAAGGUCUUUGAGAUAAAUUAAAGUCGCAAAGACUUGUGUUUGAGUUUUUUUUUUUUUUUUGUAAGUACUAUUUCAAACAAGGAAAAAGUAACACACCAAACGAUUAUAAUCAUAACAAAAGGGAGAUCACAGCUAAUAAUAUAUAUUUUUUAAAAAGAUAGAAAGAAGAGAGACUAAAACACAAAUUAAGAUAUUAAUAAUUAUUUCAAGAAAAGAUUGUAGUGGUCGGUAGAAAAAGAAUAAUUAACAAAUAAAUAAGUUUUUUUCUGAG